rnacentral:tRNA from 1 species
GGCGGGGUGGUUUAGCGGACUAUAAUCGGUCGUUCGGGACGGCCGGACCCGGGUUCGAAUCCCGGCCCUGCCA